rnacentral:lncRNA from 1 species
AUGGUGUGCUUGUCUGAUGGACAGGGCAGCUUAGGGGAAUAAGUCUCUGCAGCGUUGUAGUGAAGAGAGAAUACGGGACAACUGCAGGACCACAGCUCAGCCAAGAGCUCCCUUGCAGCUGAGUUGGCCAUAUGACUGACAGCAAGCCCUGGAAUGCAGCCAGAAGUGAUAGAAGCCUCUUUCACACCAUGCUCCUAAAAUAUUCCAAGAAAUUUUCCAAACCUACUCUUUUUAGUCUGUGCAUCUGGAAGUGAAAGUUUUAGAAAGGGUAAAGUCACUUAAUGGAAAGGGCCCAGAUCUAGCCCCUCGGAGCCAAGCUGUCCAACUAGAAAUUCUGCAUUAGUAUUUGCGACCCCAGUAAAAAAAAAAAAGUCCCACAAAGAUGUAGGAUCUCACUUUGCCUGCGUUAAUUCCCUGUCCUUUGCCCAGUUUCUCCUCUCUUGGAAGGCAGAGGCAGCUUCUGAUUUUGAUCACUUCAUGUCCAGCAGAUCUUUGGAGAGAAAAUGCCAAGAGUGGAUGGAGAGGCAAUGGUGAAGCUGAGGCUGAAGUCGGAGGAAGCUGUGAACCCUGCAUGGGGUACCUGAACACCAGGGCAAGUUUCUGGCCCAGAAUGGCUUCUGGGAAAGGGGAUAUGACAUCUUAGGAAGAAGGGACUGGGGGAAAGAAAGCACUUUCUGCUUCUGUGGAUAUAAACACACAGUGUUUUAUUCCCUAGUGCAACAAAACCUCAAGAUCAACAGACAAGAGCUGAAAACCCUUUCCCACCAGACACAGUGCCAUCUAAAUGUUCUCUCAAAAGAUAGCAUCUCAUAAACAAUUUCAACAAAAGGAUGUCAGCUUUUACUUUAUGUGCAUGCACAAAAUCACUUUUCAGGAAAAAAAAUGACCAUUACCGAAUCCAUCAUAAAAUUAAUUACAUUUAGUUGAUCACGUUGGCUGACUGGUUAUAACUCUUGCUGUAUUUUCCAGAAGUGUGUUUCAUUUUAUUUAUCAUUAAAGGAAAAAAUAUUGUAGUUUUCCAA